AGGGCACCACCAGGAGUGGAGCCUGCGGCUUAAUUUGACUCAACACGGGAAAACUUACCCGGCCCGGACACUGGAAGGAUUGACAGAUUGAGAGCUCUUUCUUGAUUCAGUGGGUGGUGGUGCAUGGCCGUUCUUAGUUGGUGGAGCGAUCUGUCUGGUUAAUUCCGAUAACGAACGAGACUCUAGCCUAUUAAAUAGACGUCGGGUUCUCUGCACUCGACGGUCUUCUUAGAGGGACAAGGUGCUUUUAGCACCGCAAAACAGAGCAAUAACAGGUCUGUGAUGCCCUUAGAUGUCCGGGGCCGCACGCGCGCUACACUGGAGGAAUCAGCGUGCUUGACCCAUUGCCGAAAGGCAUUGGUAAACCCUUGAAAAUCCUCCGUGAUCGGGAUCGGGAAUUGCAAUUAUUUCCCUUGAACGAGGAAUUCCCAGUAAGUGUGAGUCAUCAGCUCACGUUGAUUACGUCCCUGCCCUUUGUACACACCGCCCGUCGCUGCCCGGGACUGAGCCGUUUCGAGA
rnacentral:rRNA from 1 species